GCGUUGAUGGUGCAACGCUUUAGCACAUGCUCCCACAAUGAGUAGGACCUGGGUGCGAAUCCCGGCUGACGCG